UGGCCGGUGCUUCUUCUGUACCUACCGUCACUUGCGCUUCGUCGGUACUGAAAGAGGUUUACAACCCAAGGCCGUCAUCCCUCACGCGGCGUUGCUGGAUCAGGCUUCCGCCCAUUGUCCAAUAUUCCCCCAC
rnacentral:rRNA from 1 species